AAACAAUAUCCGUGCAUUCCGUGAUUCCGUCUUUAAUUCAUAAAAAUAAAUAUACUUGAAAAUAAGUAAAUAAAACAAAUAAAAAUUGUUUUUUGUGAUUCUGCCGUAGCCUUUAUUUGCUCUCAUCAAAAGAAUUGUUUUUAUAUUUUACUUUAGCAACAUGUUUAGCAUAGCCCUGAGGGAAAUGAUUAAUGAUGAGGAAGAAAAACAAAAACAAAAAUCAAUCAGAAGACAACUCAGAGAUUCUUCAAACCCUUUGGAGUUGCGUGAGCCAUUAUUUCAUCAACACUAUCGAGUAAAUAAAGAAGCCUUCAAAUAUUUGUUGGAUGUUCUUUCCAGUUCCUUGCCCGCAGUAAAACAAAAAUUUGGUGUGCCCCCAAUUAUAAAACUUGCAGCCACCUUACGUUUCCUUGCGGAGGGCGGGUACCAAAAGGGAGUUGGGAAGGACCAUGAAGUUGGGUUGGCACAACCAUCUGUAAGCCUUAUUAUGGCUGAAGUGUUGAACGUGUUGGAGGAGAGACUUUGUCCAGAAUGGAUAAAGUGGCCAACACAAAACGAAUGUAGAAGAAUCAGCCAAGAUUUCUUCAUGAAAUUCAAUAUGCCAAGCAUAAUAGGAUGUGUAGAUGGAACACAUGUCAACAUUAUAUCGCCAUCACACAACAAACACCUUUUUUGUUGUUUUACUCCUUGAAAAUAAAAAAGUUGGAGUUAUUUUC